rnacentral:lncRNA from 10 species
UUGACGAAAGGUUCAGAGCAGGAAUUGUGAAACGGCUCCUGGCAGCAGCCUGAAUCUACUCUGCACUCUGUCAUGAUGCCAUUGCCUGGGACUUACGAAUUUUGCUUGUACAAGAUUUAUUAUCUUAUUUUAAACUACAGAAUUCCAAAACACAAGGCAAACCCGGGCCCAAAGGUCUUUGUAGAAGUGGUAGCAGCUGAGAAGGGGACGUUCAUAAUGGCACAUGGAAAUUGGAGGCGUGUGGAGAGAAAACAGACUGUGGGGUCUGAAGACCUGGAACUGUGUACCAGUCCUAUAGUUAACAAGCUCAACCUAUCAGCUGAGGAAUAAGUAGGUUUGGACUAGGCCUGGGCUUCCCAAAGAAACAGCCUGACACUGCUGAUCUGGGAUUUGUGAACAUUCCAUAAUAUUGACUCACGUAAUGACAUGUUAAUCCUUUUCUUCAAUUUAUGUUCAGUACUUUUCUUGCAUUAUAUCAUGGAGAAAGCUUCAAUUUUAUGCUGGUAUGUCCUUAACACCUUUCUAUCCUUGAUCUUAGCCAAAAGGUUGAGAAGCAGUCUUCAACACCUUUCUAAUCCCUCACUGAUUUUCCUUUUUUAACAGAGCAAACCUCAGGCUCAGACCCUUUGGCAGGCAGCAGUAUCUAGCUGGAAUUUAAAAAUCACUCCCCUCACCUCCCGCGGCAUUUGAUGUUAAGGUCACUACUAAUUAUGGCAAGUGAUC